CAACGUCACACGGUUGGACCUCCCGUCGCGAAUAUCCUCGCUGUCCAAGGAACAUCGAACCGCGAAGAUGUGGCCGCGACUCUUGCGGAACCGUGCCAAACUAGUUCCGCUCGCGACGGAGAGCUACGUGACUCGAUUUCAUUACAUCGGAUACAUAGAACACUUCCGAAGGACGGUUUGUAGUUCAGCGGUACCACUCGCGGUACCACGAACAACGGAUCCGUUUAUCUCUACGACGGUAUCGUCUGGAAGAAGUACACCGGCCGAUGCGACGUUCGGGAAUGGAAAAGCGGCUCCAGCGAGGGCAGAGCGUCGACGCGCGGCACGCGUCGCUUCGCCGACCCCUUGCCGGUGAACCUGAAAAUAAUCGAAAUGUAUCGACCGAUCGGACCAGCUCCUUCGCUCGCUCUUCCUUCGUUUUUCCUUGCAAGGCGCACACGUGCCGCGUUUCGAUCGCGUGGACACCUGCAAAGUGUUGAUAGACUUCCUCGAAGUAUGGCGUCGCAGGUUUCGUACGAAUAUACUGUAUACUACCUAACACUAUUUUUACCGAAGAACAAUAGUUACAUUAUUUUCCAAGUAUAGUCUGUAUUCUGAGUUGAGUUUUCCACUUUUCUAAUAAUGAUUGUUCAAUUAAGUAUAGGAACUGUCCAGAAUUCCAUUGGGGAAAAUUCAUUAGAAUAAGAAAAUAAUUUUAAGUUAACAUUUCAAAAGGUGUCUUUUGAUACCUACACCUCUGUAGGAGAAUUUUUUACGCGGUCUCCGUGUCAUCAAUGUAAUAUCGCUUUCGAGACUGAGAGAAUUGUCCACCGUGCGAUUAUGUUAGAUUGGACUGUAAUGUGCACAACUAUCGCUGACAGAGAGAAUUGCGCCGUAAUGGCGUACCGUUCAAGAUGAUACGAUAGACACUGUAGCGGCGUAGUUGAAAGGUUGAUUUUCGGGAUACGCUUGUCACGUGAAACCGAGAAUAUAUUCUCGAAUAGCGUUGAACGUUCUCGAUGAAUUUUUAGCGUGAUAGUUUCCAUUACUUCGAUCUUUUAUGAGAGCUGCGAGAUUCGAAAUCUUGGCAGUAACUACGAUAACGAUUGUAAUGAAACUAAUCGCUUCGAAUAAUAAACUUUCCAGUCACGAGCUAUUUUUCCAAUAUUUCCCGUUAAACACGGUUUUUAUAACAGCCGUAACGGUGUAGCCGUGAGAUAGUGACAUUUGAAACGCAGCGGCCGAGAUAAGAGAGAUAGUCGGGCCGAAUUAUUGCUUCUAAAUACCUAUAUAUAGCGACGCAACGUUUGACAUUGCAAUAUAAGCAAAAAAUAGGUAACCAUGAGAGCCAUAACAUUCGCGCUUGCUAUUGCAACCUCUGCAAUGAUUGCAAUUAAUUCUGUAUUCUAUGUGGCAGCGGAAGCUGCUCCUGAGGCCAAUGCGGACGCCGAUCCAUUGAGUCAAGCGGCUUUAGCUUCCCUCGUUGGCGGCAAAUAAUGUUCGUAAUGACGAUUACGAGAAUAAAAUAAACUUGUUUCGAUAAAUUUAUUACUGUAUGUAAAGUAUUGUUAUCAUUCGAACGUAUGGUGAAAUCUAUGAAAAUAAACAUU